AUGAUAGCAAGGGGAGAGAAUGGCAGAAUAUGUAUGUCAUCGCCGAAGGAGCAAAUGGGAAACCGUGAAUCUCUCAGGCAAAAAGACUUUUGCUUGACG
rnacentral:ncRNA from 2 species